AUGGCGGGGUUGAAGCCAAGCGCUGACCACUCCGCUUUCCUCGACGGCAACGGUCCCGGCGACAAACUCAUGGCCGGCUUCGCCAACUCCGACACCAGAGAAGCGGCGCCGGCGGCCAGCAUGCACAAGAAGAAGGGGGCGCCGCCUGCCAAUCUUGCCAAGGAUCUGUUCGGCAACGCCUACCCUUCUGCACGCGAUUACAUAAUGAGGAAGCAACAGCUCGAGAGAAUUGCGAGGGCUAAGGCCAGGGCGGAGGCGGAGGCGAACAGUGGAGCCUCCGGUGAUGGCAACAAGGUGCAGCACGGAGCAAAGCUAGGUGGAUAUUAUCACAACAAUGAAUCAUCGAGGAGGCAGCAACUUGGCAUGUCGGGUAGAUUUAGCAGCAAUGGAGCUUCAAAGAGGCAGCAACGCACCAUGUCGGUGAACAAGGCCGCCCCUGCACAAGGUGUCGAGGUGCCGCCGUCUCCCGAGCAGGCUCCUCCGUCGCCACCGAGCCUAUACGACAUCAAUGAGUUCCCUGCGUUGAAGUAG
rnacentral:rRNA from 1 species